rnacentral:rRNA from 1 species
AACGAACGCUGGCGGCGUGCCUAACACAUGCAAGUCGCACGAGAAAGUCCUUCGGGAUGAGUACAGUGGCGCACGGGUGAGUAAUACAUAGGAACGUGUCUUUAGGAGGGGAAUAACCACGGGGAACCGUGGCUAAUACCGCAUGAUCUGGAAACAGCAAAGGCGGCCUCUAUUUAUAAGCUGUCACCUAAAGAGCGGCCUAUGUCCCAUUAGCUAGUUGGUGGGGUAAUGUCCUACCAAGGCAACGAUGGGUAGCUGGUCUGCGAGGACGAUCAGCCACACUGGAACUGGAACACGGUCCAGACUCCUACGGGAGGCAGCAGUGGGGAAUAUUGCACAAUGGGCGAAAGCCUGAUGCAGCAACGCCGCGUGAGUGAAGAAGGCCUUCGGGUUGUAAAGCUCUUUCGACGGGGAAGAAGGGCAUCUAGGUAAAUAAUCUAGAUGUUUGACGGUACCUAGAGAAGAAGCACCGGCUAACUCCGUGCCAGCAGCCGCGGUAA